rnacentral:rRNA from 1 species
UACGUAGGGUGCAAGCGUUAAUCGGAAUUACUGGGCGUAAAGCGUGCGCAGGCGGUUUGUAAGUCAGAUGUGAAAUCCCCGGGCUUAACCUGGGAAUGGCGUUUGAAACUACGGAGCUGGAGUGUGGCAGAGGGGAGGUAGAAUUCCACGUGUAGCGGUGAAAUGCGUAGAUAUGUGGAGGAAUACCGAGUGGCGAAGGCAGCCGUCCUGGGCCGCAACACUGACGCUCAUGCACGAAAGCGUGGGGAGC